AUUUGACAUAUGAUCCUCAUAGGAUUAUGCUACAUAGUUUCAGUGUUGCAGUAAAUGUAAUCUCAAUUCAAUACGAUGUGCAUAUACAUAUAGCCAAAUAAGAUUUCCCUGAAGUUUCCUCUGGGGAAAAACAAAGUUAUUCUAUUUAACCCAUGUUCACUGACUGUAAUCUGUGACGUUAGUGUCCUAAUAUGUUUGUGACGUUCCACGGAACCCACGUUAUUGUUUUAAACUCGAUUCUGAUUGGCUUGCAGGACAUUCAACUAUGUGAGUUAUACAUUUUGAAUGUGCUUUUACGUCAGUGUGACAGAUUCACAAUACCGAGCGUUUCUCAAACGGUCCUGCGGUUUUAUCUGCCUAACGGUAUCUUCACGCACGACUGGAUAGGCCUUUUGGAUACGCUUGUCCAAGGCCCAAGACAUAAAGUAGCCUGCAAUCAUUCCAUUGCUGACCCAUCGGAUGGUUAUCACAUAGAGGAUUGGCUUAAUCUAGAAUCAUGGAUACCUUUCAUAUCUGCGCAUCACAAGUUGGAACUAGUGGUCAAAAUUGGGACAAUGUUGCCCAAAAUAAAUGUUUUCAUGGAGUGAACAAGACCUGCCAACAGAGCUCACUGGAGCAGGGAGAAAUCCCCGUCAUCCCUUCGGCACCUGACAAA